rnacentral:rRNA from 1 species
UUUAUUUCGGUAAAUCCUUAGUGGCGAACGGGUGAGUAACGCGUGGGCAACCUGCCCUUCAGAUGGGGACAACAUCCCGAAAGGGGUGCUAAUACCGAAUACGAUCGUUUUCCCGCAUGGGGAUGCGAUGAAAGAUGGCCUCUAUUUAUAAGCUAUCGCUGAAGGAUGGGCCUGCGUCUGAUUAGCUAGUUGGUGGGGUAACGGCCUACCAAGGCGAUGAUCAGUAGCCGGUCUGAGAGGAUGAACGGCCACAUUGGGACUGAGACACGGCCCAAACUCCUACGGGAGGCAGCAGUGGGGAAUAUUCCGCAAUGGACGAAAGUCUGACGGAGCAACGCCGCGUGAGUGAUGAAGGUUUUCGGACUGUAAAGCUCUGUUGUUCAGGACGAAAGUGCCUGUUGCGAACAGUUACAGGUAUUGACGGUACUGAACGAGGAAGCCACGGCUAACUACGUGCCAGCAGCCGCGGUAAUACGUAGGUGGCAAGCGUUGUCCGGAAUUAUUGGGCGUAAAGAGCAUGUAGGCGGGAAUCUAAGUCUGUUGUGAAAAUGCGGGGCUCAACCCCGUAUGGCGAUGGAAACUGGAUUUCUUGAGUGCAGGAGAGGAAAGGGGAAUUCCCAGUGUAGCGGUGAAAUGCGUAGAUAUUGGGAGGAACACCAGUGGCGAAGGCGCCUUUCUGGACUGUGUCUGACGCUGAGAUGCGAAAGCCAGGGUAGCGAACGGGAUUAGAUACCCCGGUAGUCCUGGCCGUAAACGAUGGGUACUAGGUGUAGGGGGUAUCGACCCCUCCUGUGCCGGAG